UCCAACCGGAGACGAAGGUAGAGGUGGCGGUGGUGGCGGUGGUGCGAUUACUCGUUUUUGCAGCGACUGUGGUGGAGAAGGUGGUGGUUUUGGUAGAAUCGCAUUUGCUUCUGUAUGGUUUGAAGUUGGUUUCUUUAAUGGUGCCUCUGGUACUGCAACUUGAAGCUUGGUUUUUUGUGUUGGUUCGUCUAUAACCUUGCCGCAAUCCAUCGAACUCUGUAAUUUCUUCCAUAGCAUCGAUUUCCUCUCUAAAUCAUGUGCUUUUAGUGUGUUGAUUUGUGCCUUAAGACGACCCAUUUC
rnacentral:lncRNA from 1 species